UACGUAGGGGGCAAGCGUUGUCCGGAAUCAUUGGGCGUAAAGAGCGUGUAGGCGGCCCGAUAAGUCCGCUGUGAAAGUCCAGGGCUCAACCCUGGAAUGCCGGUGGAUACUGUCGGGCUCGAAUCCGGAAGAGGUGAGUGGAAUUCCUGGUGUAACGGUGAAAUGCGCAGAUAUCGGGAGGAACACCAAUGGCGAAGGCAGCUCACUGGGACGGUAUUGACGCUGAGACGCGAAAGCGUGGGGAGCAAACAGG
rnacentral:rRNA from 1 species